rnacentral:rRNA from 1 species
GGCCUACGGGGGGCAGCAGUGGGGGAUAUUGCACAAUGGGGGGAACCCUGAUGCAGCGACGCCGCGUGAACGAAGAAAUAUUUCGGUAUGUAAAGUUCUAUCAGCAGGGAAGAAAAUGACAGUACCUGACCAAGAAGCCCCGGCUAACUACGUGCCAGCAGCCGCGGUAAUACGUAGGGGGCGAGCGUUAUCCGGAUUCACUGGGCGUAAAGGGGGCGCAGACGGCGAUGCAAGCCAGGAGUGAAAGCCCGGGGCCCAACCCCGGGACUGCUCUUGGAACUGCGUGGCUGGAGUGCAGGAGGGGC